UAAGUAGUUUUAAAAUGUAGUAGAACGUAGAACAUGAAUCUCACUUUCCAGCUUUGAAGCUAUCCAUUGCUUUUCAAUCUAACACAUUCUGAAGCUUGGUACUGAGGACUUAUUCUGCUUUUCUCUUUGGAAUACCAGAGAGUUUUGCUUGGGUCCUUCAACAGGUGACUUGGUUUGAUCUUGAUGACUCAACAGAGUAAUCAAUCUGGGGUUCAUACAUUUCAUUGGAACCCUGCAAAUUUAUAAUUUGGUGAAGAUCAGCAGGGCAGUUCCAGUGAACUGCACCAAUAACAGUCGUCAGCUACAUGAAGACAACCAGAUCCUCUACCAGAAACAGACACAUGAUGAGUUUGGGACCCUGUUGACAGGGUCACUUAUAACCAUGGAAAACUUCUGAAAACAGUUUGAUUGCAUGUCCUUCUUUUGGCUUCUAUAUAGCUUAUGUGAUAGAUUUGUAGACCCUGAAGCUUAUGGGGACAAAGAGAGGAACUAGGAUGACAUAAGAAGCCACAGUAAUGAAGUUAAAACCUUUGGGGAAAAUAGCAGUAUCAGUACAGGAUGAAAGACAAGCUCAGUUUUCUUCAAACUGUGCUAGAAAAUCAGAUGGUACAUUGCACAGGAGGCUGCAGAGCACUUUCCCAGGUAACACCAACUAUAUGUCCUUCCUCCUGUCACUGGGCAUGGAGGCUUGGGUCCAAACGUUAAAGAGCAAUUAGAAGGAAUUGAGUGGUAUCUAGUGGCUCUACCAUGGAUUUUCCAACAAGGGCAGGAGAG